GAUGAACGCUGGCGGCGUGCCUAAUACAUGCAAGUCGAGCGAACAGACGAGGAGCUUGCUCCUCUGACGUUAGCGGCGGACGGGUGAGUAACACGUGGAUAACCUACCUAUAAGACUGGGAUAACUUCGGGAAACCGGAGCUAAUACCGGAUAAUAUAUUGAACCGCAUGGUUCAAUAGUGAAAGACGGUUUUGCUGUCACUUAUAGAUGGAUCCGCGCCGCAUUAGCUAGUUGGUAAGGUAAUGGCUUACCAAGGCAACGAUGCGUAGCCGACCUGAGAGGGUGAUCGGCGACACUGGAACUGCGACACGGUCCAGCCUCCUACGGGAGGCAGCAGUAGGGAAUCUUCCGCAAUGGGCGAAAGCCUGACGAAGCAACGCCGCGUGGGUGAUGAAGGUCUUCGGAUCGUAAAACUCUGUUAUUAGGGAAGAACAAAUGUGUAAGUAACUAUGCACGUCUUGACGGUACCUAAUCAGAAAGCCACGGCUAACUACGUG
rnacentral:rRNA from 1 species